AGUGGGAUAACUGGGUCAAAUGGUGGUUCCAUUCCUAGUUUUUUGAGUAAUAUCCAUACUGCUUUCCAGAGUGGUUGCACCAAUUUGCAGUGCUAUCAUCAAU
rnacentral:pre_miRNA from 1 species